AUCAUGGACUAUUGUUGUAGUGGCUGUCGAUCACGACCAAAACGUGGGCAGAAUAAACCACCGGGCAGAGUUUUCUAACCCUGGCAUACGGUGCUAAAGGAUCUGGCGAGAGAUGAGACGUGAUUUCUCUCUUGCACAGAGAAAUGAUCAACGGGGCUGAGUUUACCCCUCGGUUCCCUUCCAGCUCUCUCCCCUGUCUCUUUUGUAUUGUUUCCUUUUUUUUUUUUUUUCUUUCUUUCUUCCCCUCGACUCCAGCUCUGGGAAGGGGCAGCGAGGGCUGGAGGGGGCUGAAUCUAUUGGAUCCGCUGAGAGACAGCAACCAGACACCCACAACCGGGGGUGGGAGGGGGACCCUUGCCUGCCCGGCGCAGAGGGAUGUGCUUGGAGGGGUUUAUUUCCAUGCGAGUGAAGCCACAGCUCGGAGCUGGGGGGCGAGUUCACAGAUACCACAUCUCCAAGAACCAAGUUUCAGAGCACUAAAGACUAAUGAAAACCAGCUGAGAACACCUCCAGUACCUGCAGCCACGGAGCUCCUUGUUUGGUAUCUGAAGAAUGUGAAUCUUCCUGUGAUUCCUGACCAAAAUUGCAUGAUAUUAGCAAUUCUUUUCUUCAACCGGCAGCUGGAAAUGUGGAUUUGUCAUACUUCUAAUAUUGAAUCAGCUCAAGCCUUGCUUCAUUCCCAGGAAAGAACAGCUGUCCAGCUCCACUAGGGAAGAUGCUUUCUGAUCAUGAAUAAAGCCUGACUGAACCCAAAACACUUCAUCCCUGUUGCUUUGCAUGAUGGAAGAACUUGCCAGCCUAAUGAUGAUGCACAUAUACACUUGAGUAUGCUUUAUUGUGUAACUGUAAAUGCUGAUUUCUGUUUUACUAUUAAGAAAAAAUGGGAGAUUUUUUCAAAGUAUUUUUAAGCGCUUACUAUGGUCACCUUGAAAACAGACUCUUAGCAUGGCAGCUAAUGCAUAUGUUUGACAAU